rnacentral:rRNA from 1 species
AUUGAACGCUGGCGGCAUUCCUAACACAUGCAAGUCGAACGCGUGGCGAACGGGUGAGUAAUGUCUGGGACACUGCCUGAUGGAGGGGGAUAACUACUGGAAACGGUAGCUAAUACCGCAUACCAUCCACUGUUCCCCAAUGGGCUUAGCUUGUUGGUGGGUUAACGGCUCACCAAGGCGACGAUCCCUAGCUGGUCUGAGAGGAUGACCAGCAACACUGGAACUGAGACACGGUCCAGACUCCUACGGGAGGCAGCAGUGGGGAAUCUUGCACAAUGGGCGCAAGCCUGAUGCAGCCAUGCCGCGUGUAUGAAGAAGGCCUUCGGGUUGUAAAGUACUUUCAGCGGGGAGGCGUUACCCGCAGAAGAAGCACCGGCUAACUCCGUGCCAGCAGCCGCGGUAAUAC